rnacentral:tRNA from 1 species
UCCCUGGUGGCUCAGACAGUAAAGCAUCUGCCUGCAGUGCGGGAGACCCAGGUUCGAUCCCUGGGUUGGGAA